AUCUAUGUCUAUAUAGUCUACCUUAUCAAAACCAUGCUGUAGUAAAUUAUCAUAAGUAUGUUCAAAAUUUUUAGACUUAAUUGCACUUAUGUUAGCUAGUUCUCCAUUACCUAAAGAAUUAAGGCCAGAUUGUCUUGAUUUGCUCCCCAGUUUUCCAGCCUUAUCUCCCAACACAGUCAGUCUUCCAUGUACCUCCCUACACUCCAGUCUUUAUAGUUCCCUGAACAUGUCACAUACUUUUAUACUGCUGAGUAUUGCUUUACGAUCAUCCUUCUGUCUCAAGUGCCUCUUUCACUCCAUUUGCAACCUAUCAACAACCUAUAGAAACCCCCAGUUCAAAUGUUCCCUCUCUUUUCAAAUCUUCCCUGACUCCCUAGUCAAAAGUAUUCCUUCUAGGAUGUAUAACUUUUACCUUUAUUUAACACAUUUUUGUUCUGCUUUCUUGUUAGUUCCUUAGAUAUCUAACUCUCUGACCACACUUUAAGAUCCUUGAAAAUGGGAUUAUGUGUUUUGAUCACCUUUAAAUCUUCUCCAAUCCCUAGCACAUGCCUUUUACAUAAGACCUACUAUAUGCUAAGCACCAUCCUUAGUAGCAAGAACACAGCAAAGAAAAGAACAAAACUUCUGGCCCCUGAACGCUUGCAAAGUAGGAGAGAGACAAACAGGAUAAAUCAGUGUCAUACACAGCUUGCUAGAUGUUGACAAGCACCAAAGAUGAAGAAAGGCCUCACCAGGAUAUGAACAAGUGGCAUGCACUUAGCACAGCCAGAGACCAGAGCAAAGCCCAGGGGACAGUCAAAGUUACCACCUCCCAAACAGCUGGGAGUCAAGCACAGGAUGUGGUUGAGUUAAAAGCAUGACUUGGACUGCAACCUUCACAUAUUUAGAAAAUCAAGUACAAAUGCAUGCACACCCACAGGUUUUCACUUGGCUAAGGCUUCCAGGGCGCAGAGCUGCAAUAAGCACAGUGA
rnacentral:lncRNA from 1 species